rnacentral:rRNA from 1 species
UGAUCAUGGCUCAGAAUCGACGCUGGCGGCGUGCCUCAGACAUGCAAGUCGAACGAUUAAAGCUCCCUUCGGGGAGUGCAUAGAGUGGCGCACGGGUGAGUAACACGUAAGUAAUUUGCCCUCGGGUGGGGAAUAACUUAGGGAAACCUAAGCUAAUACCGCAUAAUGCAGCGGCCCCGUAUGGAGACAGUUGUUAAAGCAUUUAUGCGCCUGAGGAGAAGCUUGCGGCAGAUUAGCUAGUUGGUAAGGUAACGGCUUACCAAGGCGACGAUCUGUAGCCGACCUGAGAGGGUGGUCGGUCACACUGACACUGAAUAACGGGUCAGACUCCUACGGGAGGCAGCAGUCGGGAAUUUUGGGCAAUGGGCGAAAGCCUGACCCAGCAACGCCGCGUGAAGGAUGAAGUCUUUCGGGAUGUAGACUUCGGAAAUAUAGGAAGAAUAAAUGACGGUACUAUAUCUAAGGUCCGGCUAACUACGUGCCAGCAGCCGCGGUAAUACGUAGGGACCAAGCGUUGUUCGGAUUUACUGGGCGUAAAGGGUGCGUAGGCGGCGUGACAAGUCACUUGUGAAAUCUCCGGGCUUAACUCGGAAAGGUCAAGUGAUACUGUCGUGCUAGAGUACAGAAAGGGUAACUGGAAUUCUUGGUGUAGCGGUGAAAUGCGUAGAUAUCAAGAGGAACACCUGAGGCGAAGGCGAGUUACUAGGCUGAUACUGACGCUGAGGCACGAAAGCUAGGGGAGCGAACGGGAUUAGAUACCCCGGUAGUCCUAGCCCUAAACGAUGAUUGCUUGGUGUCUGGAGU